CGGAACGUGGCGCAGCCUGGUAGCGCACUACGCUGGGGGUGUAGGGGUCGUGGGUUCAAAUCCCGCCGUUCCGA
rnacentral:tRNA from 1 species